GUGGCUGUGGCUCAGGAGGUAGACAAUGUCAUCUUUUAAUCUCAAGCUCUGCAAGGAAACACUGUCUGCGGAAAUACAAAGAAGGAUUGGGUGUCUUCAAGGCCACUGUGGACAGGAGAACAACUUCACCAACCAACAACAGUGUGCAUCCCUCCCCUCUCUGAUCCUUCUGAAUGGAGGCUGAGAAUAGACGGGAGGCUGUUUCAGUCAGAGCUCUUGAGCAGGAAUGCCUAUAUAUGGAGUCUUACACCACGCCAAGCGCUGAUAGAG